GUUUUUUUAAGGCAUUGAUGUCAGUGUUGCUUUCUUGAACAAAGAAUUUAUUUCAGGCCCAGCAUGUACACAGAAUGUGUUCUCCAAGGAAUAAAUCUCAUCUUCAUGGGUCAUCCAGCACUCCAUCGUAUUCAUGAAGAUGAGAACCAAAACUAGGCAUAAGUGUGCAUUAGGACAUUCAGCUAUGAUCUCAAAGUCAGAGAUUCUGGUGCCAGUCAGCUCAGUUUGGAGAACGGAUGUGAACUGUGGUCUUCUCUAGCAAGUUCUUCCCAGCUCAUCAGAAAAUGAGUCUUGAACAAGACUGUCUGAUAGUACCAAGAUUCUCUACAAAGACAAGUCACCUUGGAGAAAAGGAGCAGAGGAUGCUGGAGCCUUGUGCUGUUUGGAGCUGGAGAAGCAAUUGCUGUGAAUGUUUUCGGGACAAGCAUCUACAUCAAGGUCUCUGGUGGAUCUGAGCGCCUGGUCUGGGUGGUGCAGAGAGCCCAGUCCAGCCCUGUUCAUCCCUGUGCAGAGAGCUCUACACGGUCAAGUGGUUCACCAGCAGCCAGGAGGAGCCCAGGGCAAUAUCGUAUGCUCCAUUUAGGCUGUGCAAGUUUUUACAGGGGUGUAAAAAUAACAGGACAAAAUUUGCAGACCCCACACCAGGCAUGGAUGCUAUGCCCGUAGAAAAAGCAGAAACUUAAAUCCCAGAGAGCUUCCAAUGAGGUGAGCUAAGACAGUUGAAACUCAGUUGACUGAUUUACCAUGACUAGAUCUUUCUCUGUAUUAGCUGUAUCAGGAAUUCUUCUGAUUUGGUUUGGAGGACCAUUUUGUGAGUUCUCGCUUGGUUAUGUUAAGCUCAUUGAAGUCCACAAAGUCCAAAGACUCCUCAGUCAACUUGUGUGCAAGCCUGCAAACCUCAGGUCUGUCCGCCUUUUGGGGCUCCUCAGAGCCUGCAUUGAAGAUAAGACUGAAUGAAAACUGAAGGAAAGAUUUCUCGGCUUUGGUUUGGAUUACUCAGACUCAUCAGGCUGCAGUGAGGAUUUUGUCCUCAAGUUCUUUUUGUUAAAAUGAGGACUAAUAACCUGCACUGUGAAUAGAAUACAAUUAAUUUCCCCACUUACUGUUUUUGUAAGCAAAUCACGUUUUUUAAGGCAAGUUAAUGACAACCUUUCCUCUACAGCACUCGGCCCUAAAGACACCAAGUUGGAACAGAUGGGUAAAGCACUGGUAUUUUGCAAUAUGUUCAGAGAAAAAGCUGCACCCAGAAAUUAAAAUAAGGCUUUAGGUGUCAAAUAGCAAAGAAGGGUGGUGGUUUUUUAAGCAUAUGUUCUCGUAAGCAAGCAAAACAAUUCCGGCAGCAGCCUGGAGGGUAGAAACACCGGCUGUCAGGCAAAUCCUCUGACAUGCAAAAGCCAGUAAUUUACCACGUGAGCAGCACUGAGUGAACUUCCGAAGGCCUGCAGCCCCUGAGAUGUUUUAUACAUCUCUGGCAGUGCCAAACUGCAGCUCCAAACUCUGGGUAAAACUCUCUGUACUCUGCCCACACAAGAGGAAUGCUGGAGGUGACUCAGGAGGCAAAUGAAGACAAUUGCUCUUUUUUGCUUCAUUACCAGGAGGCCUAAAAGUCACUGUUUUCCAUAUUUUCCUUCUAAAAAGUCUUGUGUUCAGGAGAUUUUUUUUCUUUAUUUUGAUUUGUCUAUGAUAUCAAGUCUUAUUUAAGCAAUGGAUGGUGAUUACUGAGGUUUUUACUUGUUAAUCUGGGCAUAUGACGGUUUCACAAAAUUCCCCUUCCCCAGUCCUUGGUCAGGUAUCUGAAUUAAACAUGAAUACUUUGAUGUGAAUUAAUAAACACUGGAACAGGUCUUCAUUAUUUGUUCUUCUGGUUUUGAAUCUUUUAUGAAAUGUUGUGUAGACAAGUCUAUAAUCUUUAUUAUCCAGACAAGAUAUGUAAUGUAAAAGAAAGCAGAUAUGUUCAAAGAGAAGAACAACAUUUUCCGUUGUUUUCAUGUAUCGGUUUUUGUAAAAAAAAGCAGAAUACAAGUUGAAGAUAUUUAUGCUCCUUCAAAUGUCAUUAUUUUGAAAAGUUGAUAAAACAUAAUUAGAAAAAGAACUGAUUGAGACAAAAAAAAAGAAACUGGAUUUCACGCACCUGCUUGAACUUCAUAUGAUCUAGAUUAACACAGGCAGUUUCUGUAAAAGGAAAUAGUGGCAGGUACAUCUUUUGAGCCUACCCGCUGAAGAGUGGAUAAAGGAACAGCAGCAGUUACAAUUUACCAGGCUUUCUAAAGGUCUCAGAAGAAUCUUUGCAGGAGACUUUUUAAAGAAUUGAAAUAGUCAUGCAUGAGAUGUCAGGCUCUUUCAUGAAUUUGGAACUGUCAAAAAAGUUGGAAACAAAGAAUAAUGAUUUAUUUUUCCACUACAACAUAAAGUUAACCACUAGAUAGCCUAAAAGUCUACAUUACAUUCAUUAUAUUUGUUAGGUGUACUGGAAAUUUGAAAGAAGCAGCCUCUAGUGAUCAGUGAAGUAGCAAAUCUGGAAAGUUUUGCAAAUAUUAACAUAAGUUGUGUUACUAGACGACACCAAAGAUCUUUAUAGAGGUGUAAUAAAAUCAAGUGAGUGGUCAUUCUAAUGGCCAAAGAGUUUCUGUACUUUAUCAAAUGCAAAGUUAACGUGCUCUGGGAGAAAUAAUUUGAACUGUAUGCUGUGAGAUCCUUACAGAUUCAGGAAUGAGAUUUUUAUGACCCCAAACUCUGAAAAUUGUUUUAAGAAUGACUGCAGAAUAUCUAUAGAGAGGUAGAUAGAUGAGAAACCUCUCUCAAAGAUUACUUGGUCCCAAUUCAAAGCUUUGGGAGGGACUAAGUGAUCUGCCUAAGUUCCUUCCUAGUAAAAUAUGAUUUGGCAGGUCAGUGUAAAUAUUUACUGUAUAAAUAGCAGCAUUCAGAAGAGUAAUUCAUUAUGUUAAGACUUUCAUGUGUAUUUGAAUAUACAUGUACGUGUAUACAUACACUUACUUGGAAAGACGCAGAGGUACACGCCUCAGCACACUACUACUCUGUUGUAAUCAACUCCUUGUAGCUCACACACAAAGGAACUUUGUCCAGAACUACCAUUUCUCAGAAACAUAACCAGCAAGUCUCCUAACCUGCCCAAAACAUGGCAAAACUUUUACUCAAGCUUAUUUCUGGCCCAAGUGUGUUCUGCAGUGUCUGCCCUCACUCACAGAAAACUCUCUGGAUUACAUCAAUCUCAGCAUAGAUGUCCUCUGGGGAAAUGCAUCUGCAAAGCAUCAAAAAAGCAUGGGUCAAAGAAAAAACUGUUUCAUUUUAGCCUGCCUUUAUUGUUGGGGGUUUUCACAGGAGGAAAAUUUCCAGAUAGUAAUGACCUGCAGGAUAGCAACACUGUUAAUUGGAGCAUUGUAAACAACACAAAACUGAUGAAGUUGUGGCUCAAAGUCUGACCUAGACCUUUUUUUCAAAUUGUUAGUCUCUAUCUAUACCCAUAAUUUUGCAUGUUAUAUAUGUGAUAUACACAUUCCUGUGUACAUGUUUGUAGAGAUUUCUGUUCUAGCUACAUUAGAAGAGCCAAUAUGCAACAAGAGAUGCAGUUCUUGUAGUACUUCAGAAAGUAAGGCAAGCAAUCCUUAAUAUAUGCAUAUAAAUAGACACUAUUGCAAGAUUAUCAACAUUUUCAAGUUUUAUUAAGAAUUAAGCCUGCUUGUCAGUCAAAGUUGGUGGUAUAGGUCAGCUUUUCCACUUCUAUUAAUUCCAAUGUAGCUCUGCCAGCAUUAACCAAGCUGCACCAGUGUGUAUCAGCUGAGUAGCUGGCUUUUAGAAAUAUAGUUAUUUUCCUACCUUGACCUCAAGCUGUUUGGAAAAGGACUAAUACUAGAAAUACUUGUUCCUGGAGUGAAUAUUUCUCUCUAUUCCAUUUACUUUCUUCAUCAGUUACCUUAUUUUUUUUCUUUGUAAGGAGAAAACUUCAGGCUUUCAUAGAAACCUCAUUACUAAGUUAUUAAGUGUGUGAAACCUCAUUCCUACAGCAGCACUGAGUUUAUAAAAUAUAGAUGAACUCCAUCAACAAAAGGAAAAAAAAUACUAGGACAUUGAGCGAGACUUCCAUAACUUUAUUUAAAUACUGUUGCCAUAUGUG